GGUCACAGCCUUUAUGCCAGCACAGUGAGACUUUCUGCUGAGAGCGAAGAGAAUGAGCGCACUGCUUAAACCAACAUCCUGUUCAAAACCUGCUCUGUGUUUAAAUCUUGCCUAGGGCUUAAAAUCCUACUAAUGGAGCAGGCUCAUGUCAAAUAGAUGGAGAAGACAGUAUGAGGGAUUAGAGGGUCUGAUGGGAAAAAUGUGGUGCGCUUCUAGAUACUUUGUCUACACGUUGGAGAAAACUUUUUUUUUUCACUUCUUGGAAACGCGUCCCAAAUCGAGCCUCUCCAGCACUCAGCGAGAGACGCCUCUGAUCUUGCCACAGUGCGCAUCGUGUGAAAAGCCAGUUUCAAGCCAUAUGUACAAUCUGCCUGAUGAUUGCAUCUGCAAAUCCAAGCUGAUAUUCUCUCAUUUCGGGUAGGGAUUAUACUCCCUUGAGGAUGUCUUUAUGAACAGCUGCAGACACUGCUGUGCUACUUUCUAUAGUGUGCAUGGAAAGUGUAGUAGCCAGUCCCCUCGGACGCCUGUGCGCUCAGAAAAUAAAGAUUUCAUUCAAAACUG